rnacentral:rRNA from 1 species
GACGAACGCUGGCGGCGUGCUUAAUACAUGCAAGUCGAACGAAGAGCGACGGAAGCUUUCCUCUAUCAAUCUUAGUGGGGAACGGGGGAGUAACGCGCAUUCAACCUGCCCUUCAGAGUGGGACAACAGAUGGCAACGACUGCUAAUACCCCAUACGAUCUAAUCUCGCCAUCUGGACUGGAUGGAAGGUGGCCUCUUUUUAUAAGCUCUCACUUCAGGAUAGGAAUGUGGCUGAUUAGCUAGCCGCCGGGGCAACGGCCCACCGAUGGGAUGAUCAGUAGCCGGUCUGAGAGGAUGAGAGGCCACAUUGGGACGGGGACACGGCCGAGAACCCUGCGGGAGGGAGCAGUGCGGGAUCCUCCGCGAUGGAAGCAGGAGUGACGGAGCGACGACGCGUGAGUGAUGACGGCCUUCACGUUGUGAAGGUCUGUUAGGCGGGACGAAUGGUUCUUGUGCGCAUAGUGCGAGAAUUUGACGGUACCGGAAUAGAAAGCCACGGCUAACUACGUG